rnacentral:rRNA from 1 species
CCUACGGGGGGCUGCAGUGAGCAAUAUUGGUCAAUGGGCGCGAGCCUGAACCAGCCAAGUAGCGUGAAGGAUGAAUGCCCUACGGGUUGUAAACUUCUUUUAUAAAGGAAUAAAGUGAGGUACAUGUGCCAUUUUGCAUGUACUUUAUGAAUAAGGAACGGCUAACUCCGUGCCAGCAGCCGCGGUAAUACGGAGGAUCCGAGCGUUAUCCGGAUUUAUUGGGUUUAAAGGGAGCGUAGAUGGGUUGUUAAGUCAGAUGUGAAAGUUUGCGGCUCAACCGUAAAAUUGCAAUUGAUACUGGCAGCCUUGAGUACAGAAGAGGUAGGCGGAAUUCGUGGUGUAGCGGUGAAAUGCUUAGAUAUCACGAAGAACUCCGAUUGCGAAGGCAGCCUACUAAUCUGCCACUGACAUUGAGGCUCGAAAGUGUGGGGAUCAAACAGGAUUAGAUACCCGAGUAGUC